GAUGAACGCUGGCGGCGUGCCUAAUACAUGCAAGUCGAGCGAACAGACGAGGAGCUUGCUCCUCUGACGUUAGCGGCGGACGGGUGAGUAACACGUGGAUAACCUACCUAUAAGACUGGGAUAACUUCGGGAAACCGGAGCUAAUACCGGAUAAUAUAUUGAACCGCAUGGUUCAAUAGUGAAAGACGGUUUUGCUGUCACUUAUAGAUGGAUCCGCGCCGCAUUAGCUAGUUGGUAAGGUAACGGCUUACCAAGGCAACGAUGCGUAGCCGACCUGAGAGGGUGAUCGCCCACACUGGAACUGAGACACGGCCCAGACUCCUACGGGGGGCAGCAGUGGGGAAUCUCCCGCAAGGGGCGAAAGUUUGACGGAGCAACGCCGCGUGAGUGAUGAAGGUCUUCGGAUCAUAAAACUUUUUUAUUGGGAAAAAAAAAUUGUGAAAGAAACUAUGCCCGUCUUGAGGGUCCCUAAUCAAAAAGCCACGGCUACCUCCGGC
rnacentral:rRNA from 1 species